rnacentral:rRNA from 1 species
CCGACGGUGAGGGGCGAAAGCUAGGGUCUCGAACCGGAUUAGAUACCCGGGUAGUCCUAGCCGUAAACAAUGCCUGCUAGGUGUGGCUCCCACUACGAGUGGGUGCUGUGCCGUAGGGAAGCCGCUAAGCAGGCCGCCUGGGAAGUACGUCCGCAAGGAUGAAACUUAAAGGAAUUGGCGGGGGAGCACUACAACCGGAGGAGCCUGCGGUUUAAUUGGACUCAACGCCGGACAUCUCACCAGCAUCGACUGUGGUAAUGACGGUCAGGUUGAUGACCUCGCCACGAGCCACAGAGAGGAGGUGCAUGGCCGCCGUCAGCUCGUACCGUGAGGCGUCCUGUUAAGUCAGGCAACGAGCGAGACCCGCAUCCGUACUUGCCAGCAACACUGCGAAGUGGUUGGGGACAGUACGGAGACUGCCGUGGCCAACACGGAGGAAGGAACGGGCAACGGUAGGUCAGUAUGCCCCGAAUGUGCUGGGCAACACGCGGGCUACAAUGGUCAGGACAAAGGGUUCCUACUCCGAAAGGAGACGGUAAUCUCAGAAACCUGAUCGUAGUUCGGAUUGUGGGCUGCAACUCGCCCACAUGAAGCUGGAUUCGGUAGUAAUCGCGUGUCACAAGCGCGCGGUGAAUACGUCCCUGCUCCUUGCACUCACCGCCCGU